ACCUGCGGAGGGAUCAUUAUAGAGUUACAAACUAUGCUCGAGAUGCUCGUAUUAGAUCGUUGCCUCGGCGGGACGAACUACCCGGUAGCAAUCAGACGGCCUACCCUGUAGGUGCUGACCUGACCUACCCUGUAGUGAAAUCUUUCCGCCAGAGGACCUAUGCUCGUAGUGAGCUCGUAGGAUUCUGAGAAACUAUACAAAUAAGUUAAAACUUUCAACAACGGAUCUCUUGGUUCUGGCAUCGAUGAAGAACGCAGCGAAAUGCGAUAAGUAAUGUGAAUUGCAGAAUUCAGUGAAUGCUCGUAGUAGUCGCCGCACAUUGCGCCCAUUAGUAUUCUAGUGGGCAUGCCUGUUCGAGCGUCAUUUCGACCAUUAAGCCUAGCUGCUUAGCGUUGGAUGCCUGUAGAUGCUCGCUCCCUAAAAAUGCUCGUAGAUGCUCGUGAGACUCUAAGCGUAGUAAUUUUUUUCUCGCUUUUGUAGCUGUCCUCUCUCCCGCCGUAAAACCUUAUAUUUUUAAGUGGUUGACCUAUCGUCCGUGAUAGCUACCCGCUGAACUUAAGCAUAUAUGCUCGUAGCGUAGAUGCUCGUAGUAGUCGC
rnacentral:rRNA from 1 species